rnacentral:tRNA from 1 species
AAGUCUCGUGGUGAAAUUAAAUCACACUGGUUUGCAAAUCCAGAGGAGUGGCGAAGGCCACCUGACUUU